rnacentral:rRNA from 1 species
AACGAACGCUGGCGGCAGGCUUAACACAUGCAAGUCGAACGCACCGCAAGGUGAGUGGCAGACGGGUGAGUAACGCGUGGGAACGUGCCCUUCAGUUCGGGAUAACCCAGGGAACAUUGGGCUAACACCGGAUACGUGCGAGAGCAGAAAGAUUUAUCGCUGAAGGAUCGGCCCGCGUCGGAUUAGCUGGUUGGUGAGGUAACGGCUCACCAAGGCGACGAUCAGUAGCUGGUCUGAGAGGAUGAUCAGCCACACUGGGACUGAGACACGGACCAGACUCCUACGGGAGGGAGGAGUGGGGAAUAUUGGAGAAUGGGCGCAAGCCUGAUCCAGCCAUGCCGCGUGAGUGAUGACGGCCUUAGGGUUGUAAAGCUCUUUCGUCCGGGACGAUAAUGACGGUACCGGAAGAAGAAGCCCCGGCUAACUUUGUGCCAGCCGCCGCCGUAACAC